rnacentral:lncRNA from 1 species
AGAGUGGAGAAGGCGAACCGUCUGCAGCGAGGCGGGGGUGGGGGGCGCGGGGAGAACGGGGUUCAGGCCAGUGUCGCUCUCAAGGGGCAGCCCUGGUGUCACCCCCACCCCCUCCCACGCUGAAGCCUUCCGGCCGAGCUGUGGCAUCCACGCAAACGGGGCCGCCUCGGCACCUCCAGGCCAGAAUUUAAAUGUUAUUAGCGGCAACUGAUCUGCUCGGGACUGAGGUUUCGGGUCCUCUGCGGAAUUGGGAGGAGCGUGGAUGGUGAAGGAGCUGCUGCACUGUGGCACAGGCUUGGCCGGGGCUGCCUGGCUCUGAGCAGGCUCGUGGGACGGCCCUGUAAGAACCCCACUGCAAGAAGGGCACAGAAGCACCUGAGUUGGCGUCUCAGCGGGGACCCCCCCCAGGAAAUGCCCUUCUACAGCUGGUACUCAAGCUCUUUACACACUUAGCCAUCGCUCUACACAGUCCACGCUUGUGCACCCACACCCACAAGCUUAUGCUCACGUGCACUUUUUUUUUUUUUUUUUGAGACGGAGUUUCGCUCUUGUCGCCCAGGCUGGAGUGCAAUGGCGCCGUCUCAGCUCACUGCAACCUCCGCCUCCUGGGUUCAAGAGAUUCUCCUCCCUCAGCCUCUGGAGUAACUGGGAUUACAGGCGCGCGCCACCACACCUGGCUAAUUUUUGUAUUUUUAGUAGAGAUGGAGGUUUGCCACGUUGGCCAGGCUGGUCUCAAACUCCUGACCUCAAGUGACCCGCCCGCCUUGGCUUCCCAAAGUGCUGGGGUUACAGGCAUGAGCCACCGAGCCCAGCCUCAACAGGCGGAUUCUUGAAUCCGUGUGUAUAAUGCUUCUCUUACAGUCAUCCAGCAAACAUGUACAGACCCUGCUCACGUUUCCACAUAACCAUCCUCGUCUUCCUUUUCUAUCCUUCGGGUCCGCGCAUUUGCCAUCCAUACACGUUACUGGAUAUAGUUAGCUGGAACAUAUGAAAUGCCCUUUCCUAGCACACCCAUAUAAACACACACAAUGGAGCUACGUAUGUACAGGCCUAAAAACAGAAUACACAUCCUACAUGACAUGUACACAUGUGCACACA